CCCAUCCCCGUUCGCCUUUCCCCACCACCCCGACCUCCUCGAACUCUACCUCCCCGCCGACCCCUUCUUCGCCCCGCCCCCCAUCCCCUCCCCGCACGCCUUCCUCCUGCACGACCUCACCGACCGCGCCGCAUGUACACCUACGCGGCCACGGAGCCCGGCGGCCGGAAGGUCAAGUGGACGGCGGAGGAGAAGCCGCGCGGCGGGGGCCGGGCGCUCAAGUGGGAGGCGGAGCUCGCCUCCCCGAACGCCGGCCAGGUCUUGCUGCAGGGUAGUGAAGGAUUGACGAGCCAAAUAGAAGGGGCAGUGAGAAAUUGAAGGACCAUGAGCAAUGCUGAGACUUGCUGGUUUAUUAGGUAUGACCAUGAGCAAUGUUGAGACUUGACGCAAUUCACUCGUUAAACAUGCCUAGCACAUUCAAAGUGAUUCAUUGAUUCCUCUUUACUAUGUCAUCGUCACCUAAUAGAAGAUUUUUAUAGAUGCGAAGUAUUUGUUCAGAAAAUAAGAUGGUGCAUAUAUAAAGGUUAGUCUGCAUUUAGUGAUUUAGGGGCAUUGUAUCACUGCACAAAAUAGUUUUUGAUAUUGUUUCAUUAUUAAUUCUGAUUUUCUAUAAAUCAAACCAACAAUUUUAUAUAAAGUGAUUGCAAGUUUUGUUAUUGAUUUCAUACAAAAAACAAACUUGCUAUUGUCUUUUAGUUUAUCAUUUCAUUUAGUUUCAGGGCAACCAUCUCAUUUGCCAUUCACUUUCUAACUCGUAUGGAUUUUUUAUGGAGUUUGUAAGGAUAAGCAAAUAAAUGCAUCGCCCACUUCUUGAGUGCCACUGAAACGCUGAUUGCAUGCAAGAUUUGAUCAAUUAGGCUGCUGGUAUUAUCUAUGAUAUUUGCACGUAAGAUUUGACAGGUGACAUCAGCACUGAUUUGCCCACCGUGAAUUCCUGUUUGUGUUACAACAUGCGUAGAGCUAGCCUAUAGCCUCCAUAAAAAAAAUACCAUAGCCUCUCGAGCCGUUAUUAAUUUGUGCCCAUGUACCAACUCCAAGAUAAAACAAUUGUGUCCCUGUACAACAUGUUUUUCUUUUUAAGAAUCUACAACAUGUUGGGCUGACCGUGUGCACGUUCCGAUUUAAUAGGCUUGCAUCGUAUGUUUUUCUGUUCUUUUUUGUGUCUGCUUGGAUAGUAGAUGUCAUAGUAGGACCUUGCCUUUUUAUUUGUACGUGACUUUCUCUAGCUUUUGCAUCGGCUUGCAUCGGCUUAAAUUCCAGCAAAGAAGCAGCAGUCUUGCAACCGGACUUCUAUUCUUUUCUGAAGUUGAACCGGAUUGGCCUUUUUCCUAGCCAAGCAUAGAGUUCCUUGGGUUCCCUUCUAUGAUAGAUUAUCGCAUACCUGCCUAUGAUAAACUCUUUUCACGUGCCAAAGACUGUUUUUUUUUCAUGAUAGAUCUCUUUAUACGUGUCAACAAUUUAUUGUACCGAAUAGGUGCUGUACAUAUCUUUGUUCAUCUUUCAAUCUCGACCAUUCUAAAUAAAAUCAAUGGUAAUUCUUUGAGCAUAUGUGUAUAAACGUGAUGGCUUGUUUGCCUUUUGUCUUAAGUAUAUAAUAGAAGAUUUAUCUACAAAUUUUGAUUAGAAAUAAGUGUUUUACUCUACUAUAAUAAUGCAUAUGAUACCAGAUUAGUUGUAAGGAACUUGUUCAGACAUGUUAGAAUGCAAAAAUUUAAUCACAGAAGUAGUACCUGCAGUUAUAUUAUACAAAGUUGAUAACGGUGUUACGGUGGCGUCAUGGUACCGAUGCACUUGAUGUCAUAGCAGUUAUAUUGUACAGGAUGUGCUGAUAUGGUACAGACAUUGUGCGUGCGAUUGACCGUCUAUGUGUCUGCAACGUUGCCGCGUAUAGAUGCGUUGUUGACGUGCCUUGUAUCUCCAGGAUGUGUGGCAACGGCCUAGUGUAUACCAAUGCACUUGAUUCAGGCGUACGGAGGGAGCCGUGUUGUGUGUUCCAAUCGGAAAGCUAUCAGCCGCCAGCACGGAUUGUAUUCUGUUUAGAGGUCGAGUUCGCAUGCACACUGCAUACUGUCGGGCCUGGAAAUCUACUCAAUAGACAUGCAAUUUCUCCAUGAAGCUCUAAGUUUUCAUCUCUCACCACGAUCCUUGAGUACUGUGGAGCAGCUUCUUCAUCCAGCCUCUUGUUUUCGUCUUCAGCAGGACUACAAGGCGAAUUGCUACAUAAACAGCAGAGAGAGAGCAUGGGGACGGCCUGCCCCACAUCCCAUGAGGAACUUUCGCGCAAAGAAAACACACACAGGGCAGGAAGGGGAAAACAUAUAGGAGUCUCUCUAUUGGAAGGGGAAAAUAUAAUAUUAGACACCAUUUAUUUUUCUGCUCGCUGAUGCAUGCAAUGUAUCAUUUGGCCUUGAUUUAAUGUAUUCAUUGCUCUCUGUUCUUUAAUAAGGCAGACUCAUAUAGAACCUGAUAUUUCUUAGUGAUGUCUUCAGACAUGAAUGUCAUUUUGCACCGAAGGUUUGUAACCAUUGGGGAAUGUUUUCUUGCUAUGUAUCAAGUUGCCAUGGGGGUGAUCUAGAGGUCUCUUCCUUGUCCAAAGUAUGUCAUACCUAAUCAAGACAUGUUCAUUUAAUUUACCCGUCAUGUAAAUGACACAACAUGAUUCACUUGUGUAUAGUGUAAACAUAUAUUUAUUUAUGGCAAGCAGGUGUUCAAAUUAUA